rnacentral:rRNA from 1 species
GAUGAACGCUGGCGGCGUGCCUAACACAUGCAAGUCGAACGGAGAUUACGGACGGAAGUUUUCGGAUGGAAGACUGUAAUUCUUAGUGGCGGACGGGUGAGUAACGCGUGGGCAACCUGCCCUAUACAGGGGGAUAGCAGCUGGAAACGGCUGGUAAGACCGCAUAAGUCGGCGAGACCGCAUGGUUUUGCCGGGAAAUGAGCAAUCAGGUAUAGGAUGGGCCCGCGUCCGAUUAGCCAGUUGGCAGGGUAAAAGCCUACCAAAGCAACGAUCGGUAGCCGGACUGAGAGGUCGGACGGCCACAUUGGGACUGAGACACGGCCCAAACUCCUACGGGAGGCAGCAGUGGGGGAUAUUGCACAAUGGAGGAAACUCUGAUGCAGCGACGCCGCGUGAGUGAAGAAGUAUUUCGGUAUGUAAAGCUCUAUCAGCAGGGAAGAUGAUGACGGUACCUGACUAAGAAGCCCCGGCUAACUACGUGC